UGGAAACCAGUUAAGAGAGAUUGGCAGGCUUGGGUGUCUGUUGAACACCCACUCUGCAUGGGCGCCUGCAGUGGCAUUGCAGCCCAGGAAGGGAGUCAAAAAAGGUAGGAGGAGGCGGAUAGCAAAUGGGAUAAACAGCUCCCGGCAGAGAGGAUGGAAGCAGUGAGCUGCGUUACCCACAAAGAUGAUCCACAGCAAAAGCAGAGCUGGAGCUGGCGCCACUGGGAAAAGGAAGGAGAGAGAAGGAAUGGGAAUGCCAAGGAGGACAGCCAACCUGAAAAUCAACCCGCAGGGAUGAAGAGGCAACAGCGGGGCUGGAGGAAGCAGACAUGGAGGGGGCCUUUCCUCGCCAGAAAACCAGACUUCCUACAAAUGCCUUUCUAGACAGUAAGCAGAUUUCUUCUGCUAUAAACGUCAACCAUUAGAACCUUUUCUCCCUAAAGCUGCAGACCUCAGGGGCAGAGGGGCUGAUGACCAAGAAAUCAGACUGACUUGUAAACUGUGGUAGUGAUAUGUGAGAAAAGCCUUCCUUCUUCUGGGAGCUUGGGCAGAUGGUCAGGAAGGGAGAAACAUAGUUAAGAUGUCAAUAGGGUGUUAGGAUACUAUUAUGCAAAUUCAGUGAUCAGAAGCACCCUGUGUAUUCAGAGAAAAAGGAAAAAAUCCCAGCAUAUUCAAUGUUAUUGUUCUAGUGUCAAGUUUCAAGGUACCAUGUGGGCAAUUGUGCAGGCAACUCUCAUUUGACGUAAAGACUCACAUGUAGUUGCUGCAAAGUAGGAAUAUAUAUAUCUACCCACACAAAGAAUAUAUAGAAAGGACUGGAUAACUAGCCAGUUCUAGUUAUUCAUUAUUAUUCUGUUAUUAGCUAGUUAUGAUUAUUCCAAUAAUGUCAUAAACCUAGAGAUUUUCAGGUUGAUGAACAGAAGUCUUAAAAGGUAACAAAACUAUUUGGAAGGCAGAAAUAAAACACACACACACACACGUGCACACACUCAUGCCCAUUUCCUAAUAACAAGAUUACUUCGACUACAUUGCGAACAUGAUCAACAGAAACAAGUUUCAAUUAAUUAUUAGAUCACAUCUUUCUACCUUCCUUUCAGGAAGUAGAGUCCCAGAAUAUCAGUUACCCUACAGUCCUUUAUCCCCAAAGCAUGGCUCAGAUUCUGGAAGCACACAGAAACAUAACUUUAAGCUUUUCUUAAAACUUACUGCUAAAGUUUCCCAAAGUGACCCUUUGAAGUAAUAAUUAUUUUCAUUAAGACAUUUCCAUUUAAAAAAUCUUUUUCUAAAGUAUAAAAGCAAUAAAUGAUCACUGUAAAGAAAACCUGACCUAUAGAAAAGUAUUAAAAAUUAAAAUACUGACAAUCUGACACUCCCCAAAAUGCUCACGGUAUUUGUCUCUGGGAGCUACGACAUAUUUCUAGUACAUUAAUAUAUGAGCUUUUUCCUUCAUUUCUUUCAUUUCCACUUUGGAUACAGCUUGUAACUCAAGUGGGUCACCCUCUCUCAUACUCAUACCCACUGACACAUAACAGCACAGGUUCAUCGAGACAUGCCUGUUUGGGAGUGGACUUGGGUGGUGGGCUCCUUGCUGUUGAUGGUUCUCCUUUCCUGGCGCCUAGCAGUUUCAGCAGGCUUUCAUGUCUCCUCCCAUUCUUGCUUUCCUGGGUACUCUGACAAUUACCAAGCAGGCAAUGCUGCAUGUUAAAAAUUGGAAGAAAAAAAAAUCAAGGUAAUCUUCCAGGCGUUGAAGGGAACAGCAUAGAGGAAUGUUGACCAAGGUCCCCACAGAGUGAAAUGUCUGCUCAGGACCAGAUGGUCACCCCAGAAUUACUGGACAUGUACGUGCACGCAAGCAUGCAUGUGUGUGUGUGUGUCUGCGUGUGUGCAUGUGCAUGAGUGAAGAAGGGAGGUGGCUUCCAUGUCAGACUUUUAACCUACUACCCUCAUCUGAGGGUACUGAGCCUUUAGCAUUCCAGGGAAGGAGGAAACAAAGUUUUUUUGUGGGUUUCUCCUGCUCCCUCAAAUAAAUUUUUUGACUUCUCUUCAAUUUAACUAUUUAUUGAGUAACUACUAUGUGCCAGGAAAUGUUAUAGGGCACUUGGGAUGCAACAGUGAAAAAACAAAAUUCCUGCCCUCAUGCCUCCUACAUCCAAUGGCCAUCAUCUCCACACCAGCCCCACAUUCCUACAACCACAGCUGCUUCAGCUCUGAGUUUGUAGAUUAAAGGCUCCUACUCUCUGACUACAUCCACUAACUCUUCCAGCUCACAGAAUGCUACUCUGUUCAUGCCUAUUACUCAGAAUCACUGAGCCCUCAAGUCCCCACCACCUCUGUUGUCAGGCACAGCUGGUUGCCUAACCAAUAUCCAUUUUUGGUUUUUUGUUUUAACUUAGAAAACCCCCAUUUUGUUCAAGAUGGCAAUGGUCCUAGCUAAAAACAUUUUGGCAUCGUAGGCCACUGCUCUGGCCAGUGAGAUAUAAGUAGAAAAAGUCCUUUGUGAGAACUGAACAGGUCUUGAGAGGAGAUGGUCCACACAGUAUUUAGUGUGGAUGUGGAUGUGAAGGCUGGAGUCCUGGCAACUACUUUAUGAACAUAAUAAUGAGAGCCACACCUAAAGGAAAUAGAAAGGAAGGAGUCAGGUUCCAAAGCCAUACCCUCCCCCAGGCUGCCCACCUCUGGAUUUUUAUUUUUUUUUUACAAUAGAUACGCUCUUACAUUUUUAAGCCACUGCUUUUUGAGUAUCUAGUUACUCAGAGUUAAACACAAGUCCUAAUUGAUCUAUCAAGGUAUAAGAGUAGACAGAUGCGUGGUAGCAUAGAGCACAAUCACAUGGCAUGUUUGUUAAAACUUAGAUUGCUGGGCCCACUCUGGGGUUUCCAAUUUAGUAUAUCAGAAGUGAGCCCCAGAAAUGUUCAUUUCUGAGUUCCCAAGUGAUGCUGAUGCUACUGCUCCAGGAACCAUACUUUGAGACCCACACGGUUAGGUUUCAUUGCAGUGAAGAAACAAAGAACAAAAGCAAGCAGAUUUUGGUGGCACAGUGACUUGCUACUAAAAAUGUGGUACACCAACCAGUAGCAUUGAUCAUGCCCAGGAACUUGCUAGACACACAGAAUCUGAGACCUCACCUCAGAGCCACUGAAUCCGAAUCUGCAUUGUAACCAGUUCCCAAGUGGUUCACAUGCAUGUCCACAUCUGAGGAGCAGGACCUGUUACAUGGCCUGUGCAAGCCCGGGGGUCUCUGCCCAUCAUGGUCAUUCAGGAAGGUCAAGGAGGCUCCAUCUGCCUCCAUGACCACGGGUGCUGAAAGGAGUGGAUGGAAUGGAUCAUCGCGCUGGCCCAUCAAGUCUCCACUCUAGACGAGUCACCUCACUCAGGAUUACAUCAACCAUUAAUGUCAGGGUGGCAGGUGUGCAAUCCCAUCAGGUUCCCAGAAAGAGAACAAGAAUAAGAACAAACAAUUUAAGGACUCCUACAGUCAGCCUGGCUUUCUUCUUUCCUGUCCUUCAACUACUCUCAGAAAAAGGACUACAGAAAUUUAAAAUAGUGUAAGUACAAAUGUAUCUGCUAGAACAAAAACACAAACCUUCUUAAAUACCAAAACAAAUAAACAGAUGUAAAUGCAUAUAUAGCAAAGAAUACAUAUCUUGGAAAGAAAUAUCGCAAGUAUGAAAAAUAAAAAUAAUUAUUAAAUUAUGAUAAUGUUGACACCAAACAUCGGUCAUAUCAAUAAAUGUGAAUGGACUUAACUUAUCUUUUAAAAGAAAAAGAUUUUCAAUGUGGCUUGUAAAACAAGGGAACUUUGGCAACGCCUGACAAAGCCACAUCUGAACGUAACUUGCAAUUCAGCCAUUCCCCUGUGAGGAUUCCACUCUGAUGGGGCUUACAAGAUGGCCUGCAGGCCUCCCCCAACAUCAUCGGCUCAUUUGCUUUGUCCUCUGUCAGCAAGUAAGCCAAGGGCAAGCCGCAGAGAUCUAAGGACGAGGGGUGAGGCCAGUGGGGAAUAAUGGCCCUUCCAUAGAAGGAAUGGACAUCAUUUUGAUUUGCAUUUGGGCAGACCAGGUGGGAUCCUUCAGAUAAUCAAUUCUGACUCCAGCACUGAGCAGUGAAUGUCACCUGUGCUGAGCAGUCCAAAUCACCAAACAAAUAUAUCCAACAUGUGGGAGCUGGCUGAGAGAGCCCUGGAGAGUCUUUGAGCUAAUGAGCCUGGUCAAAGGGACGUGGAGAGAACUAUUUUGAAAGCCAAAAGGCAGCAAGCCACAAAACAUCUUGAAUGAGACUAAAACUUGCAGGCAGUCUAGGGAGGGCCCCAGCUAGAUCAGUGAGUGAGGGCUCAUGGAUACCAAAUUAAGGCCUUAAUCAUCCCUCAACUAUUUUCAUGCUUAGGCUUAAGCCCCAGGAUGGUCCACACACAAGCAGAUCUUGAUGUUCCUAAUCUUGACUUUCCUACAUUUUAGAAUAUCCCCCUACAACAACUUCCAUGCAUCGAUUUUGAAUAUUGGCACAUCGACUCACCACAGCCUCCUGCUCAGGACGCCGCCUUCAUCAUUAGCAUGGCCGUCAUUCUUGUUUGGACAGCUGUUUCCUGGCAAUAAUUUGAACAUAUACUACAUUUUCCCCUCUUUAUAAAAAUGAGUAGCAAAUGGGCAUAUGAGUAUGCUUGGCAAAACUUAAUAACUUAAUUAAGUUGAAGAUGGAGAUCAUUAGGUGCUGGAAGAAGCAAAUCUUUAACCUUAAUUCAUGGUCAUGGGACUUAAGCCAGAAAUGGGUUGAUUUCAUGCUGAGUUGUGAAGGAAAUGAACAAAAUUGAAGAGUCAAUUUGAAAUGUGAAAUAUAUAUGACCAAACAGUAGGCCUAAGGAGGAGUUACAAAAUCAGAGGUUUUAUAUUACUGUUGAGAGCUCUGAUCACAGAAUCCCCUUUCUAAUAUGUUUUUUUGAUACGUAUUCAACGUCCAAACGUAUUUUCAGGACUAAGGGAUCCAUGGUUUUGGUGCUUUGUGGGCUGGGGCCAGGAAGCAGACAGGCUUACCUCGCACAAAAUACCUCCACUUCCUGCCUCUCCCGGUCAGGUCAGUCCUGUUCCUCCCUCCAGCCCCGUCAGACCCUCAUUUCCAUUACAAGAUCUAGAAACCCCAUUUUAGGAAGAUAUAAAUAUCUUAGAGGAUUCCAUGUCAGGAAAGGAAGUGAAUUCCAAGGCUGCAGGAUUCCCGUGGAAAAGGCCCCGAGUUCCACUUCUCAGCGCUCCUGGGGCCGCUGGAAGCGCUUCCUAGCCCGGCUGACAUCAUCUCUCUGGUUUUCUCAGACACUUUUUGCAAACCUCAAUCACAUCAACCCAAAUUCUCAGCUGGAAACACGUGGCCCUGUGUGCAUCUCCUUCUAAGAAUACUGCGCCCUUUGAAGAACUAUUUUUGACAAUCAGAAUUGGAGACAGUCCCUAGGGCCUCUGAAGAGAAGCACAUGCCACAUGAAAAUAGUCACUAAGAAUAAAUCAAGCCACCAAAGGAGCCCGCGUCAGUGCAGGCCAGGCCGCAGGCAGGAUGCAAGGAAGGCGACACUGACCCCAGCUGGUUUUCUCUGCCUCCGUCUCCUGUGACUGCGAGGCUUAGACAUUUAAUAUCCUUCUGUUGCCGAGUCCCUCCCCAAAUGACGACCAUUUCUCAAUGCAAUAAACAGGUGCUGCGGCACCAGACAAAUGCUCCGCUUUCUAAUCACUCCCAUUUAACGCGGACUUCCGGAGUUAUUUCUCUUCGCUGAGAGUAACUCAUAAGAAACAAAACAUAUCUGGUUUAUGGCUUUGCCCCUUGAGACCACUUAGGUAUAGAAAAUAGAAAUAUGCUUAACUGCUUCUUGAAAGCUACCGUGAAUAUUUGUACCUAGGAAAAGCACUUCCUUUACACCCUAAGAAGGGAGGGAUUUCUUUUGGAAAAUCAAUGUAUCA
rnacentral:lncRNA from 10 species